UACGUAGGGGGCAAGCGUUGUCCGGAAUUAUUGGGCGUAAAGAGCUCGUAGGCGGCUUAGUAAGUCGGCGGUGAAAUACCGAGGCUCAACCUCGGCACUGCCGUCGAUACUGCUAUGGCUAGAGUUUGGUAGAGGAGAAUGGAAUUCCCGGUGUAGCGGUGAAAUGCGCAGAUAUCGGGAAGAACACCCGUGGCGAAGGCGGUUCUCUGGGACGGUACUGACGCUGAGACGCGAAAGCGUGGGGAGCGAACAGG
rnacentral:rRNA from 1 species